rnacentral:rRNA from 1 species
AUGUGUAUACCAAAAAAGCAAGAAGGCAUGGGGUUUAGGGAUAUCCAUUGUUUCAACCUCGCAUUGUUAGCUAAAGGCAUGCGACUGAUUGACAAUCUGGAAUCUUUAUGUGUAGUAAUUUUAAAAGCAAAGUAUUUUUCGGAGGGAGACGUGAUGAAUGCUACUUUGAACAGAAAAACAUCGUUCACAUGGCAGAGUGUCAUGGCAGGAGUGGAGACAUUGAGGAUGGGAUAUAUUUGGAGAAUUGGGAACAGUCAGAACGUUAUCAUCUAG